CAGCUGCGGGGCCUUGGGGGCCGUUCCCGCUGGGGGUGACUUUAGAACUGGGCUUGCAGGGUUUCAGGGAUGAGACACGGUUUUGACCUGAUGCUAGGGAGAAGGGGGCAGAGCCUUCCAAGUGGAGGAAGCCAGUUAAAUCUGUGCUUCCCGGUUUCAUCUGCUAAGAGGGCAAAGCGGGAGCUCCUCUGGCGGCUGCUGCGAGGUCAUUCUGGAAUCCUGUGCUUUCGGCUGACGCCUCCUUAUCUAGGGCGCGCUGUUUUGCUUGGCUCCGCCUGCCUCCCUGACAGCACUAGCUCCACACAGCCGUUUCGUUUUCUUUGCUGCUUUUGAGAGAUCGGGAUCAGAUUUUUCCCAAUUUUAAGUUUUCAUAAGUUUUAUCCUGUGUUCACGGCUGUCUGUAGGAAGGAAAAAAUAUAUACACGUCAUCCGCCAGAGAUGGCAUUCUGAAUAUUGUUAUGUUACAGCUGAAAUGAAAACAUUAAGAAACGUAGCAAACAUCCCAUCUCUUCGGAAGACUUUUGACCCUAAAACCGCUUUAAAUAAAAGCUGACAGAUACUAGAUUCAAUUUCUUAUGAUAACAUAUAAUGGAAAAUAAUCUGAAAAGAAAAUAUAUAUAUAUAUAUAACGAAAUCUCUUUGCUGUACACCUGAAACUAACAUUGUAAAUCAACUACACUUCAA